rnacentral:rRNA from 1 species
GAUGAACGCCGAGCGAUAGGCUUAACACAUGCAAGUCGAGGGGCGAGCAUAUUCGAAGCUUGCUUUGAAUGAUGGCGACCGGCGCACGGGUGCGUAACGCGUAUGUAACCUGCUUGUCAGAAGGGGAUAACCCGGUGAAAGUCGGACUAAUACCCUAUAUGCUCACGAGAGGCGCCUGCCUUGGUGAGGAAGGAUUUAUCACUGACAGAUAGACAUGCGUCCCAUUAGCUGGUUGGUAGGGUAACGGCCUACCAAGGCAACGAUGGGUAGGGGAACUGGGAGGUUUAUCCCCCACAUUGGUACUGAGACACGGACCAA